UCGAACUCGACGGUAGGCCGAUUCGGAGA
rnacentral:sRNA from 1 species